CCCAAAAGCAUCCCCUCACCAGCCCAUGCAUUGUUCACAUGCAAGGACCAAUAGUCUGUGGCUUGGCGCAUGGUCUUCACAUGAUCAGAGAGUGCUGUGAUUCCAAUCACCUUCUGCAGAUCACAAGCCUCAUUUGUCCUCCAACUCAGCUCAGCAUCAGUGCUGAAACUUUUGGACUCUUUUCUCUUCAUUUAUUGAUAUGGUCUUUCCUGUGCGUCCAUGAGAAUAGGCUGUCACGUAAUGGUGAGAUCCCACGACCGCCCAGACACCGUCGUGGGUCCCCUGGACCACGAGAGCACCACAUUGGGGUUUUUCGAUCAUACAACCGACCCUACCUUGCGCCUCAGUCACGUUAACGUCGUUACAGAUUUUGACAGGUUCCGUCCUCCAUAGUGCUCAGACUGGAUGAAAA